rnacentral:lncRNA from 1 species
AGCUGCCGCAGCGCGCUGGGCGGGCGCCCGUCCAGGCCAGGGAGUGUCCUGGACUCGGGCUCAUCAUCCCGGGGCCGUGGGGAGUCUUUGGGCAUUCACGUCGUGUGGGGUUGAUGGAAUUUACCCAGACCAGCCCCGGGGGAAGGGACUCAAGGGAGCUGAGACCAUGAAGGAGAGCUGGGAGAGGGGUCCUCGCACUGCCCCCGGGGUGCUGCCCUCUGCAGGCCGGGAGCAUCCUCUCCGCAUCCCGAGGGCCUGGGCCCAGCAGGCAGUUCCCACCCACCCGACUGGGAGGACAGCCGUGUCUCACCCGUGUCCCUGAAUCACGCAACCCCGAGACCCCAGCGGGAACCCAAGGGGUGGAGAAGGCGGCUCGGCCACCUCUCACGCCAGCACGAGCCACGGCCGUAGUGCGCAGGCAGGCAGCACCAUCGAGGCUCCGGGGGCUCAGCCGUCGCAGCCUUCAGCGCAGAUGAAAUCCACACGACUGCAGAGCAAGAGGGGCUGGGGAUUCUUUCUUUCUGUCCAGCUCGGAGGUGCCUCAGGCACUUCCCCACCCAGCUUCCAGGAUGGGUGCUUCAAGGUUCAUGGAUCCUCUCCACGACGUUUUCAGCCCCACUUGGCUUCCCCAGCCAGGAAGGAAUGGCGUCUUCAGGCUGCAGCUGUGGGUGCUGUUUCCCAGGUAUGAGGAAAUCUACACCAAGCAAUGAAAUCCACUGAGGGGAAUGAAUGGACUCAGCUCUGGUACUCAGCAGCGUGUUGAAGGUCCUGUCACGAGAAGUCAUCCUGUGAUUUAGAAGUGACGAUGCCACAAUUGUUGGGGGAAAAUGGGAAUUUCCACCGUUACCCAGACAGGCAGCUUCCCCCCCCCGCCCCCCACAUGCCUGCUCCUCUGUGGGGACUACCAGUUAAUGCCCUCCUUGACCAGCCUGAGCCCAGCACAUUCCGGCCCAGGGACAUCUCAGUGGGAAAGAGAUUCUGGUCAUUUAGAAAAUUCAUGAUCCUGUGAUUCAGCUAAUUAAAUAAAUCUGGACAGAGAAGUUUCUUUAUUCA